CAGCCGCCGCGGUAAAACCGAGGAUGCAAGCGUUAUCCGGAAUGAUUGGGCGUAAAGUGUCUGUAGGUGGCUUUUCAAGUCCGCCGUCAAAUCCCAGGGCUCAACCCUGGACAGGUGGUGGAAACUACCAAGCUGGAGUAUGGUAGGGGCAGAGGGAAUUUCCGGUGGAGCGGUGAAAUGCAUUGAGAUCGGAAAGAACACCAACGGCGAAAGCACUCUGCUGGGCCGACAUUGACACUGAGAGACGAAAGGUAGGGGAGCAAAUGGGAUUAGAUACCCCUGUAGUCCCUGUCUCUUAUAC
rnacentral:rRNA from 1 species